ACUAUUUUAGUUUAUAUAAAACAAUAAUUUGUGGAAUUAUUUAACUUUUAAUAAAA
rnacentral:tRNA from 1 species